UACAGAGGUCUCAAGCGUUGUUCGGAUUCAUUGGGCGUAAAGGGUGUGUAGGUGGCGCGCUAAGUCGGGUGUGAAAUUUCGGAGCUUAACUCCGAAACUGCAUUCGAUACUGGCGUGCUUGAGGACUGGAGAGGAGACUGGAAUUCAUGGUGUAGCAGUGAAAUGCGUAGAGAUCAUGAGGAAGACCAGUGGCGAAGGCGGGUCUCUGGGACGUGACUGACGCUGAGACGCGAAAGCGUGGGGAGCGAACAGG
rnacentral:rRNA from 1 species